rnacentral:rRNA from 1 species
UACGGAGGGUGCGAGCGUUAUCCGGAAUUACUGGGUUUAAAGGGUGCGCAGGCGGCCAUUUAAGUCAGAAGUGAAAGACCCCCGCUUAACGGGGGAGCUGCUUUUGAUACUGAUUGGCUCGGAUUAGGAUGAGGUCGGCGGAAUGUGACAUGUAGCGGUGAAAUGCAUAGAUAUGUCAUGGAACACCAAUUGCGUAGGCAGCCGGCUGGACCUAUAUCGACGCUGAGGCACGAAAGCGUGGGGAGCGAACAGG